rnacentral:rRNA from 1 species
UACAGAGGUGGCAAGCGUUGUUCGGAAUUACUGGGCGUAAAGGGCGCGUAGGCGGCCAUCUAAGUCAGACGUGAAAUCCCCCGGCUUAACCUGGGAACUGCGUCUGAUACUGGACGGCUUGAGUAUGGGAGAGGGAUGUAGAAUUCCAGGUGUAGCGGUGAAAUGCGUAGAUAUCUGGAGGAAUACCGGUGGCGAAGGCGGCAUCCUGGACCAU